GUGAUGUGCCGUGGGCUAAACUGAUAACCAAGGAAUGUGUACAAAAAAAAAUAAAUUUUUAUUAGUCAUAAGUGUGAGAAUUGUCUGUCCGCCCUCAGAUCUAGUUGGUGAGAGAGGGAAUUUCAUUGUGACCAGGCACAUGUAUUGAAGGAAAAAAGAAAAAAAAAACAAAAAAAAAACAACAGCAACAAAAAAAAAACCAUACAAAAAACAUAAACAUAAGAAACACAUAAACAUCUGUAAAAAUAUUAUUAGUACUAUGUUCAUCAUGAUGUGGAUUUAUAUUAU